rnacentral:ncRNA from 2 species
UUAACGAGCCGGGGGUGCCUGUUUGCAGGCUGAGAUCAUACCCUUGGAACCUGAUACGGAUCAUACCGGUGGAGGGAGGCUCCUGCGCCAGCAU